rnacentral:rRNA from 1 species
AUUGAACGCUGGCGGCAUGCCUUACACAUGCAAGUCGAACGGCAGCAUGGAGAGCUUGCUCUCUGAUGGCGAGCGGCGAACGGGUGAGUAAAGCAUCGGAACGUACCGUGUAGUGGGGGAUAACGUAGCGAAAGUUACGCUAAUACCGCAUACGCACUGAGGUGGAAAGCAGGGGAUCGUAAGACCUUGCGCUAUACGAGCGGCCGAUGUCAGAUUAGCUAGUUGGUGGGGUAAAGGCUCACCAAGCCAACGAUCUGUAGCUGGUCUGAGAGGACGACCAGCCACACUGGGACUGAGACACGGCCCAGACUCCUACGGGAGGCAGCAGUGGGGAAUUUUGGACAAUGGGCGAAAGCCUGAUCCAGCAAUGCCGCGUGCAGGAAGAAGGCCUUCGGGUUGUAAACUGCUUUUGUACGGAGCGAAAAGGCUCUCUCUAAUACAGGGGGCUCAUGACGGUACCGUAAGAAUAAGCACCGGCUAACUACGUGCCAGCCGCCGCGGUAA